GAAUUAGUAAAUUUCUUUCUUUGAUUCUCUGCUUCCACUUGAAGAUAUCAUAUCUCUGUGUGUGGUUGGUUUUAGGAUCAUGUUUUUAUUCAAUAUUGACAUGAUCGCAUGAAAAAUAGAAUUGAAUCCACUAAACAUUUAUAAAUAGUCAGAAAAAUCCUUAAUUAGGUAUUGAAAUUGAGCUCAGAAUAGUUGUUUAUAGUGAUUUGAAGUGAAUCUUCUGUAAAGGGGAGCUGAGGAUUAUCGAUUACGAUUGUGUGAUUUCGUUUCAGGAUCUUGAAGUAGGUGAAUAUGGCAAGUCUACAAGGACCAGUAAUUUGCCCAGCUGUACGUGCAAAACAAUCAGGAGGAGCUUAUACUUUACCAUUAAAUGGACCUGUAAUGAGAUCAAAGACUUUGAGAAAUGGUUUUCUUGGAUUUAAAGGGAAUAAUAGAUGUGGGAUCAAGUUGCAGCCAGUUUCUCAUCAAGUUCGUUUAAGGAAAUGUAUGACGGUUCGAUGUACUUUCAGUUCAUCGUCAGAUGGUAAUGGUAGUACUGCAGAGAAUUUUAAUGAGAAUGAUGGUGAAUAUGUCAACUCCAGCAUAAUGGAAGCUGUUGAGGUGAAAAGCGGAGCAGAUGGUUUCAUGAUCAAAAUGCGAGAUGGCAGGAAUAUGAGAUGUGUUCACAACAAUCCUCAGGGUGGCCAUCUGCCAGAUUAUGCUCCACAUCCUGCGAUUGUACUCAAGAUGGAAGAUGGAAGUGAUCUUUUACUUCCAAUUAUUGUUUUGGAAAUGCCGAGCAUGUUACUUAUGGCUGCUGUCCGCAAUGUUCAAAUUGCAAGGCCAACUGUAUAUCAAAUAAUUAAGGAAAUGAUUGACAAAAUGGGUUACGUGAACAUGCUUUUUGGUGCUUUUCAUCUUACAUGCUAAUUGCGGCAGUUGAAGAACGCUAUAGAGAUGCAGCUCAAUGGCGAGAUAAGCUUAGCCAACUUCGUUCCAAGAAACAGAAGUGGGUCUGACACAGAGUGUUAUCAUGUUUGUACAUAACAACCAUCUAUCAGUCCGGACAAGAUUCUCUAGGCAUCUCUCUGGUGGAAGUAGUAGUAGUCAUUAUCUCUCUGGUCCCAUGUAUGUAAUAUAAUAAUUUGUGAAUAUCUGUAUAGGUCUAUGGAAGUUACUCCCUGAUUUAUUAACUUUCUUCUGCAUGGUAUAUUGUUCAAAAUUUAUGCUUCAUCUUCUUAAGUUUGGCAA